rnacentral:rRNA from 1 species
GACGAACGCUGGCGGCGUGCUUAACACAUGCAAGUCGAACGGAAAGGCCCUGCUUGCAGGGUGCUCGAGUGGCGAACGGGUGAGUAACACGUGGGUGAUCUGCCCCUUACUUUGGGAUAAGCCUGGGAAACUGGGCCUAAUACUGGAUAGGACCAUGCUGUAGGUGGUGUGGUGGAAAGAUUAGUUUCGGUAAGGGAUGAGCUCGCGGCCUAUCAGCUUGUUGGUGGGGGAAUGGCCUACCAAGGCGUCGACGGGUAGCCGGCCUGAGAGGGUGGACGGCCACAUUGGGACUGAGAUGCGGGCCAGACGCCUACGGGAGGCAGCAGUGGGGAAUAUUGCACAAUGGGCGCAAGCCUGAUGCAGCGACGCCGCGUGGGGGAUGACGGCCUUCGGGUUGUAAACUCCUUUCAGCCAUGACGAAGCCCUUGUGGUGACGGUAGUGGUAGAAGAAGCACCGGCUAACUACGUG